UGAAAGACUUUGAAAAGGACAUGAUGAUCCGGGUGCUUUAUUCAGAGAGGAAUAUGAUUGGUGCGAGUAUUCCUGAAGCAUGGAUGCAUUACCGCCUUGGAGUUGGUCAUUAGAAUCAAGUAUAGUGAUCCGGUCGUUCCGUUAUAACGUUCGAGUACAUCAGAAUUAAGCGUUUUGGUGAACUAGGGUGGAACCACGUGAGCAAGCUCUCGUCCCUUGA
rnacentral:ncRNA from 1 species